rnacentral:rRNA from 1 species
GAUGAACGCUGGCGGCGUGCCUAAUACAUGCAAGUCGAGCGAACGGACGAGAAGCUUGCUUCUCUGAUGUUAGCGGCGGACGGGUGAGUAACACGUGGAUAACCUACCUAUAAGACUGGGAUAACUUCGGGAAACCGGAGCUAAUACCGGAUAAUAUUUUGAACCGCAUGGUUCAAAAGUGAAAGACGGUCUUGCUGUCACUUAUAGAUGGAUCCGCGCUGCAUUAGCUAGUUGGUAAGGUAACGGCUUACCAAGGCAACGAUGCAUAGCCGACCUGAGAGGGAGAUCGGCCACACGGGAACAGAGACACGGUCCAGACUCCGACGGGAGGCAGCAGUAGGGAAUCUUCCGCAAUGGGCGAGAGCCUGACGGAGCAACGCCGCGUGAGUGAUGAUGGUCUUCGGAUCGGAAAACUCUGUUAUUAGGGAAGAACAUAUGUGUAAGUAACUGUGCACAUCGUGACGGUACCUAAUCAGAAAGCCACGGCUAACUACGUG